rnacentral:lncRNA from 1 species
AAAAGACUCUCAAAUGUGUGAGGAGGUCUCCAUCAGUGAAGCUAUUCAAGAAGAGAGUAGAUGUCACCUGUUGGGUUUUCUAGAACUAUACCACUGUAUUGUCUGUCAGCAAACUGCUUAUUACCCACGUACCCAGAGUAACGGAACUUGCGCCUGAAUGUAAAUUAGCUACAUCACCAUACACACUGCUGAAGUCCAUUGACACUUUUUGUGGCAAGACUUUCUAGAUGGAAGAAAUGGCUGCAUUGAUUUACGAUCUGACUCUAAACUCUAAGAGAACGCAGAUUCAGAUUUCCAUCUCUGCAUUCCCAGUCCCCUCUACAGUGCUGUGUACAUGAGCUUCAGAGGAACCAGGCCCUCGAUGUUUCCCAGUAAAUCAUGACUUCAAGAUGCUCCUCAGUUUCCUUCAACCUUGACUUUCCUCCAAGAAUGCUGAGCCUUUUUCUGGUCUGUCCCUUGUACCUGCUUAGUUCUAAACUUCCUCUUUAACAUGUAGAAACAUAACAGCCAAAUAUUAAUUAGCAAUCUAGCAAUUAAGUGACUUAAAUAUGCAGAAUUGAUCUUACACAUUUAGCCUGACUCAUUUAUAUACCAUAAUUGCAAAAUAAGUUAAUAAUCUGCAAAAAUAAAAAUAGAAAAGUUUACGUCCGUAAGUCAUUUUUCAAUACUAGAAAUAUUUACCACUUCAACAA